GGCUGCUAAGGGCACUCGUAAGAGGUUUGCUUUUCCGAUCAGAAGUUUAUAAAGUCUUGUUUAUUAGUUUCCUUUGAAAAAGAUGUUCACAUGAUGCUUUUGUGCAAAGAGCACAAGCAGACUUGUUUUUACUGGGCUUAUAGAAAGAUUUGCACUGCAGUAAAAGAAAGAUGGUAUUACCACAUGAAUGGAGCUACAAGAGAUGGCAGAUUCCAGUCAUUUUCAGGAAGG